rnacentral:rRNA from 1 species
AUUGAACGCUGGCGGCAGGCUUAACACAUGCAAGUCGAGCGGAGAUGAGGUGCUUGCACCUUAUCUUAGCGGCGGACGGGUGAGUAAUGCUUAGGAAUUUGCCUAUUAGUGGGGGACAACAUUCCGAAAGGAAUGCUAAUACCGCAUACGUCCUACGGGAGAAAGCAGGGGAUCUUCGGACCUUGCGCUAAUAGAUGAGCCUAAGUCGGAUUAGCUAGUUGGUGGGGUAAAGGCCUACCAAGGCGACGAUCUGUAGCGGGUCUGAGAGGAUGAUCCGCCACACUGGGACUGAGACACGGCCCAGACUCCUACGGGAGGCAGCAGUGGGGAAUAUUGGACAAUGGGGGGAACCCUGAUCCAGCCAUGCCGCGUGUGUGAAGAAGGCCUUAUGGUUGUAAAGCACUUUAAGCGAGGAGGAGGCUACUGAGACUAAUACUCUUGGAUAGUGGACGUUACUCGCAGAAUAAGCACCGGCUAGCUCUGUGCCAGCAGCCGCAGUAAUAC